AUUCUGGUUGAUCCUGCCAGUAGUUAUAUGCUGUCUCAAAGAUUAAGCCAUGCAUGUCUAAGUACACACGAAUUAAAAGUGAAACCGCAAAAGGCUCAUUAUAUCAGUUAUGGUUCCUUAGAUCGUUAACAGUUACUUGGAUAACUGUGGUAAUUCUAGAGCUAAUACAUGCAAUUAAAACAUGAACCUUAUGGGACAUGUGCUUUUAUUAGGCUAAAACCAAGCGAUCGCAAGAUCGUUAUAUUGGUUGAACUCUAGAUAACAUGCAGAUCGUAUGGUCUUGUACCGACGACAGAUCUUUCAAAUGUCUGCCCUAUCAACUUUUGAUGGUAGUAUCUAGGACUACCAUGGUUGCAACGGGUAACGGGGAAUCAGGGUUCGAUUCCGGAGAGGGAGCCUGAGAAACGGCUACCACAUCUAAGGAAGGCAGCAGGCGCGUAAAUUACCCACUCCCAGCUCGGGGAGGUAGUGACGAAAAAUAACAAUACAGGACUCAUAUCCGAGGCCCUGUAAUUGGAAUGAGUACACUUUAAAUCCUUUAACAAGGACCAAUUGGAGGGCAAGUCUGGUGCCAGCAGCCGCGGUAAUUCCAGCUCCAAUAGCGUAUAUUAAAGUUGUUGCGGUUAAAACGUUCGUAGUUGAACUUGUGCUUCAUACGGGUAGUACAACUUACAAUUGUGGUUAGUACUAUACCUUUAUGUAUGUAAGCGUAUUACCGGUGGAGUUCUUAUAUGUGAUUAAAUACUUGUAUUUUUUCAUAUGUUCCUCCUAUUUAAAAACCUGCACUAGUGCUCUUAAACGAGUGUUAUUGUGGGGCCGGUACUAUUACUUUGAACAAAUUAGAGUGCUUAAAGCAGGCUUCAAUGCCUGAAUAUUCUGUGCAUGGGAUAAUGAAAUAAGACCUCUGUUCUGCUUUCAUUGGUUUUCAGAUCAAGAGGUAACGAUUAAUAGAAGCAGUUGGGGGGCAUUAGUAUUACGACGCGAGAGGUGAAAUUCUUGGACCGUCGUAAGACUAACUUAAGCGAAAACAUUUGCCAAAGAUGUUUUCAUUAAUCAAGACCGAAAGUUAGAGGUUCGAAGGCGAUCAGAUACCGCCCUAGCUCUAUACAUA
rfam:Drosophila sechellia strain Rob3c scaffold_12239 genomic scaffold, whole genome shotgun sequence.